UACGGAGGGUGCGAGCGUUGUCCGGAAUCACUGGGCGUAAAGGGCGCGUAGGUGGCCUGUGGAAGUCUGCGGUGAAAGCCCGGCGCUCAACGCCGGGUCGGCCGUGGAUACUCUCGGGCUCGAGCUUACUAGAGGCAGAUGGAAUUCCGGGUGUAGCGGUGGAAUGCGUAGAGAUCCGGAAGAACACCGGUGGCGAAGGCGGCUUCCUGGUCUGCGACUGACGCUGUGGCGCGAAAGCUAGGGGAGCAAACGGG
rnacentral:rRNA from 1 species